CUUAAUUAAAAAAAUGCACCAGUAGCCAAUUAUCUGAAACUAUUUUACUGGAGCUGAAGCUCAUUGGUUAACCCAGACAUUGCUAGCCUCCUAUUGGAGCAGUGGGGCUUAAUCCCGCCUUUCUUCUAGAACUGAGUGGAAAACUAGGGAAGAAACAACCGGAACAAAAUGGUGGUGUGGAGCUUAGGAGGGAAAUGGCUGAAUAGCUGGAGGAAAACAAUAAAUUACACAGUUUCACAGUGUUUCCCAGCAGAAGAGGUCCAAACUCGAUAAUUCUGAGGAUUAUUUUAUCCUUUUUCUGUUUAGUUUGGGCUCUCCGUAUUCUAGCAAGGAGGUGUGGAGCUAUGGUGUGGAACUUUGAGCUGGAUAACACUGGAAAAAAAUGAUUUUUCGGGGCAAAUUAUGCCCUGUGUCACCCAGUCUGACGGAUGUUUGGACAAAUUGUUAACAUUUCUGGAUCUCAAAAUGCUGUGGCAGGGCGGAGGUGUGCUAUUCAUCAAAGAUCACGAUUAUCCCCCAGUUUACCGUCCCUAAUGUUCAGUGAGGGAGCUGCCGGCCUCUUUAUCAUGUCACAAGCCCCGCUGCAGAUGAAGAAUCUGCAGGACAGCAGGAAGGAGACUCACCCAUCCCUCCGGGUGCUAAUUGGUGUGGGCGGUUGAUUUGAAGCAGCGCUGGACACUGCGUGUUGGGGGACUCCAGGCCCGGGAAAAUGGAUGAGCUGGAGGAGGGUUUGCCGGUGAGUGGAGCAGCGUGGGAUGAACAAUGCGGCGAGAAGUUAUGGGGUAUUCAUGAGUGGGAUUUCAAAGUCUGAAUGCAAAUGAGAUAAUUGUGAUCGCAGUAAAGACUUUUGUUCCUCUGGCGAAGAGCAGAAAAAUCAGAAAGCUCUUUCUGUAGAACCUAUAGGCAAAAAAAAAAAAAAAAAAACUUGGACAAGGUCCUUCUGUGCUCUAGGCAAG
rnacentral:lncRNA from 1 species